UUAGACCUCAUCUUGAGUGUUGUGUCCAGUUCUGGAUACUUUAAGAAGGAUACAGACAAACUGGAAUGGAUUCAGAGGAGGGCAACGAGGAUGAUCAGGAGACUGGAAACAAAGCCCUGUGAGGAGAGACUGAAACAACUGGGCAUGUUUAACCUUGAGAAAAGGGGAGAUGUGACAGCACUGUUUAAGUACUGGUAAGGUUGUCACACAGAGGACAGCUAGAAUCUCUUCUCGAUCAUCCUGGAGUAUGGGGCAUGGAAUAAUGGACUCAAGUUUCAGGAAGCCAGAUUUCAACUGAUCAUCAGGAAAAACUUCCUCACUGUUUGAGUGUUAUGACAAUGGAACGAAUUAUCUAGGGAGGUGAUGGGCUCUCCAACCCUGGAGGUAUUCAAGAGGCAGCUGCACAGCCACCUAUCAGAUUUCAGAGACUGAAGCAAGUUAUGGAGAUGUAAUGGAUCCACUCGCCUAUCCCAUUAACAACAGUAUAUCAUGCGCUGUUAUUAUAACAUAGGAUGAAUGAUUUGUCAGACAGCUCUUACCAAGGCAGGACUCAAAGCCCACUUUCUUUGGGAACAGCGUAAUGCCGACUUCUCAGUUUCCAGCAAUCUGAAGUUUAUGGACUGAAGUCUCUCACCGAGAGCAAGAUUACUGAGCUGGCUUCCUGAGUUUCAGGCCCACAUCGUACCAGCAGAAGCAGUGUGAAACCUAACCUGAAUGCUAGCUAUGUCUCAUGGCAAGCUACUAGUGUGCAGCAACGACAGAUCUAACAAAAGUCUGGCCUAGUCUAAAACAAAAUCAUCUCACUUUCUUUUGCCCUUCCCAUGUCCAGCACUGAUGAUACCUAUUGUAUUCUCUACAAAGGACUUUGAGAACUCUGUCUAUCUGAGAUUGGAACAAACGUGGAACAGGAAAAAGAUUUGGAGUCUAUGGACUUUAGAAACAAAAUCUAUUGUUUGGAGACACAGGAGACUAAAGACAUAGGGGUCCUUGUGAGAGAGGAGACCCUGGAGACUGGAACAGGGGUCCCUGUGAGAGAGGAGACCCUGGAGACUGGAACAGGGGUCCCUGUGAGAGAGGAGAUCCCGGAGAUUGGAACAAACGUGGAACAGGAACAAGAUUUGGAGUCUAUGGACUUUAGAAAUAAAAUCUAUUGUUUGGAACUCAAUGUUAUCUCUGAAGAAAUUAAUGAAGAUUCUAGAGAUAAAGUUAUCAAUGGCAUGGAUAAUCUUCUGGACUGGAAUGAUGUGAUGGAGCCCAAUAUAGAGAAAAUCUAUGGAAUUAACUGCAGCCAUGUGACAAUGGAAAAACUUUCAAGAGAUGACCCAGUGUAUUUUGAAAAAAAGAACAGAGAUAUGAUUUUACAGCAGUAUUUCAGCAACCUAUUCAGAAUGGAUGGCAAGAAAAUAUUUGGGAUAGAGGUAAUUCCCAUCAGACUCUUACUAUAUGACUAUGGCUUUGACAGCAAGAUUAUUAUGGAAUACUGAUAAUGGAAGAUUGGAUACUGAAAUUACUGGACUUAACAAGACUACUGAAGAUGGAAGAUGGAAAAUGGAACUAAUAGGGAUAAUAGAACAAUGGCUACUGAAAUUACUGAACCUAACAGAUUCUGAUGUGAUGGAUUAAUGGAAAUGUUUAUUUUGACUAUGGUUAUGACAAUAAGAUUAUCAUAAUUAGUAAUGAGAUGGAUUAAUUGAUAUGU